AUAGCCGUGGUGGAGGAGCAGCCACACGGGGCGGUCAGAGCUCUGGUCUCCCGGGGUACCGCCGUCGCUCCUCUCUCUCUGUCUCUCUAGGGGGGUGGAUGCUAUAUUUGUAGCGGCGACAGGGGGGGGCUAUUUGUCAUAAACAGCAGUGUGGUCUGGACCCGCAAAACACACUGCAGGCCUUCUCCACGGCCCCCCCUGCACAGCAGCGACCCACUCCAGCCAGGACGGUGGGACAGGGAGAGAUUCAGCCUGGAGCGAUGGACGCGGGCCCGAAACUCACUCCGUGGUGGCUGUGAAGUCUGCGGUUCUUGGCAACAACAGUUUGAGAACAGAUGUUCUGCUCUGCAUUUCUCUAAACCUCCCAAAAGUCCUUCGUUCUCAGACUUCUAACGGUAUCAGACCGGGGAGGAACUGACAACUUCACCCUGAAGACUUCUGAGUUGCACAACUUCGGUUUGAGCGAGCUGGAAUAAUUGCAGAGACUUCCAAGAUGGCGCCAUUGGGUGCUUGGGGGAUAUUUCCAGAGGCGGCCGGGGCACGGAGCGUCCGCAGAGUGGAGAAAGUGACAGGGGAGAUGAUGGGACAACCUGCAAUUUAACCGACAGGCGAACGCAAAGACGCCCUGGUCCUCCGCGUGGAGCGGGGCCCGGGGCCCGCCUCCAGAUGGGAGUUGUGCGCCGAGGCAUUCCUCUAGUAUUCUGGGAUGCGGUCUGGAAACGGGGGUGACAGAGUGCUGCCGUGGUUACCAGCAAUUUGACUGUGGGCUUGUCGCUAUUUCAAUCCCCCGCUACCCCCCCCCCCCC